ACGCUCACAACGCUCUUUAGUCAUGGUUAAACAAAUCAAACCACGACCAUGGGUCGCCAUGAAGUUAAUCGCUUCUGGGGUAACAUGCUCGGCAGCCAUAAUCA
rnacentral:antisense_RNA from 1 species